rnacentral:ncRNA from 1 species
UAAAUAAAAUAAAUUUUUCUCAUAUAUAUUCGUAAUAUGGACGAACGUUUCUACGACUUACCGUAAAUAGGUCACUAUGAGGAAAGACAAAUA